rnacentral:rRNA from 1 species
UGGGGGCAACCCUGACGCAGCAACGCCGCGUGAGUGAUGAAGGCCUUCGGGUCGUAAAGCUCUGUCAAGUGGGAAGAACCUGAUUGUGGUAAACAGCCAUAGUCACUGACGGUACCACUGAAGGAAGCACCGGCUAACUCCGUGCCAGCAGCCGCGGUAAUACGGAGGGUGCAAGCGUUAUUCGGAUUUACUGGGCGUAAAGGGCGCGUAGGCGGUUGAUCAAGCCAGGUGUGAAAUCCCGGGGCUUAACUCCGGAAGUGCAUCUGAAACUGGUUGGCUUGAGUAUGGUAGAGG